CAAGAAAAAUAUAUUCAAUACCUAUGUCGUUGUAUAUUACAUACAUACAUGCAUAUUAAAAAAAAACUGCUAGGAAUAUAAAAAAAAAAAAAAAAAACGUAAACACGGUCCGAAAAUAUUUUACGAACGUAAACAUCAACAUUGGUUUUUCAAUACGCUCUCACGGAUAUAAAUAUAUAAUACGAAUUUAUCGGGAUGAUGCACUGCGUGUGUACCGGAAUAGUUUUCCGGUUUAUAUUUGUUUUUAUUUUACUACAAAGCUUAUCUCGUAUUUUAUAUAUAACAGUAGGUAUUGUAUAGAUGAGUAGUUUUCCGAGGAGUUUUGACGUCCGUUGUUAGAUGGUCCGUGAUGAUGGCCGAAAGACGAAUGGUCUUAAAAAAAAAUCGUUUUUCCGUGACUAUAUAUAUACGCAAUAUCAAAUUAUCGGUUUCGAUUUGAUUUUUAAACUUUAAAACGCAUCAA